CGAAGCGUGCGAUUGGAUUGCACGUCUAAGCAGUAAGGCUGAGUAUUAGGCAAAUCCGGUACUCGUUAAGGCUGAGCUGUGAUGGGGAGAAGACAUUGUGUCUUCGAGUCGUUGAUUUCACACUGCCGAGAAAAGCCUCUAGAUAGAAAAUAGGUGCCCGUACCGCAAACCGACACAGGUAGUCAAGAUGAGAAUUCUAAGGUGAGCGAGCGAACUCUCGUUAAGGAACUCGGCAAAAUGACCCCGUAACUUCGGGAGAAGGGGUGCUCUUUAGGGUUAACGCCCAGAAGAGCCGCAGUGAAUAGGCCCAAGCGACUGUUUAUCAAAAACACAGGUCUCUGCUAAACCGUAAGGUGAUGUAUAGGGGCUGACGCCUGCCCGGUGCUGGAAGGUUAAGAGGAGUGGUUAGCUUCUGCGAAGCUACGAAUCGAAGCCCCAGUAAACGGCGGCCGUAACUAUAACGGUCCUAAGGUAGCGAAAUUCCUUGUCGGGUAA
rnacentral:rRNA from 1 species